rnacentral:rRNA from 1 species
GAUGAACGCUGGCGGCGUGCCUAAUACAUGCAAGUCGAGCGAACAUACGAUGAGCUUGCUCCUCUUACGUUUGCGUCGGACGUGUUAGUAACACGUGGAUAACCUACCUAUAACACUUGGAUAACUUCGCGAAACCGUAGCUAUUUCCGGUUAAUAUAUUUAACCGCAUGGUUCAAUAGUGAAUGACGGUUUUUCUGUCUCUUAUAGAUGGAUCAGCUCUGCAUUAGCUAGUUGGUAAGGUAACGGCUUACCAAGGCAACGAUGCGUAGCCGACCUGAGAGGGUGAUCGGCCACACUGGAACUGAGACACGGUCCAGACUCCUACGGGAGGCAGCAGUAGGGAAUCUUCCGCAAUGGGCGAAAGCUUGACGGAGCAACGCCGCGUGAGUGAUGAAGGUCUUCGGAUCGUAAAACUCUGUUAUUAGGGAAGAACAAAAGUGUAAGUAACUAUGCACGGCUUGACGGUAACUAAUCAGAAAGCCACGGCUAACUACGUG